rnacentral:rRNA from 1 species
CUACGGGGUGCUGCAGUGAGGAAUAUUGCAUAAUGGGGGGAACCCUGAUGCAGCAACGCCGCGUGGAGGAUGACGCAUUUCGGUGUGUAAACUCCUUUUAUAUGUCAAGAAAAUGACGGUAGCAUAUGAAUAAGCACCGGCUAAUUCCGUGCCAGCAGUUGCGGUAAUAUGGAGGGUGCAAGCGUUACUCGGAAUCACUGGGCGUAAAGGACGCGUAGGCGGGUUGGAAAGUCAGGUGUGAAACCCUACAGCUUAACUGUAGAACUGCACUUGAAACUUCUAAUCUAGAGUAUGGGAGGGGGAGAUGGAAUUAGUGGUGUAGGGGUAAAAUCCGUAGAUAUCACUAGGAAUACCUAAAGCGAAGGCGAUCUCCUGGAACAUUACUGACGCUAAGGCGUGAAAGCGUGGGGAGCAAACAGGAUUAGAUACCCGGGUAGUC